UACGUAGGGUGCAAGCGUUGUCCGGAAUUAUUGGGCGUAAAGAGCUCGUAGGCGGUCUGUCGCGUCGGCUGUGAAAACCUGGGGCUCAACCCCGGGCUUGCAGCCGAUACGGGCAGACUAGAAUUCGGUAGGGGAGACUGGAAUUCCUGGUGUAGCGGUGAAAUGCGCAGAUAUCAGGAGGAACACCGGUGGCGAAGGCGGGUCUCUGGGCCGAUAUUGACGCUGAGGAGCGAAAGCAUGGGGAGCGAACAGG
rnacentral:rRNA from 1 species